ensembl:lncRNA
CCUCACUACGGAUCGUAUGCUGAUGGACUUCCCUGGACCUGCUACCUGAGACCUGCUGCUUCCUCCUGGGCUUACUCUGCGGCUUCUUCCUGGACCCACCCGGUACCUGCACCCUCCCGUUGCCCACGAUUGGCCUCGGUGCUCCUGCCUUUCAGCCUCAGACCAUCGGAAUGUCGUGCAAUGGGACUACUGCCGGAUCCUGAUGGGGAUCCUCAGUCAUCCAGGAAUCUUAGAGAUGAUCAUGGACUGUCCUGAAGGCAAAAAUUUUGAAACAUCACCAGGAGAAGAGAUGGAUCAUGUCAUACUGUGGGGAAGCAUCACGGAUGGAAAGCUGUGUGGAGCCCCACAUGACAAGUUGCAGAGGCCACUGAAGGAAAAGGGGAAUCAAGCCAAUUUGCAGAGGUUAUUCAUGACUGUGAAACGUGCCAUAAUUAAACAAGCCAAGAGGAUGAAACCUCUCUGCGGAGAAGGAUGACGGCAAAACUAUAAAUAUGGAAGAGAAGAACUACACAUCCCAGAUGACUUCAUGUUCAGAGAGGAAAACAAGCCAUGGGAGAAUGUUAUGAUAUCUCACUCUCUGGCUCUUUCACUCGCUGCCUGGAAGUGUGUGGGUGUGCUCCCCAGCUGGUGCGCCUUCAUUUCAAUGCUGGGUCAGAAUAUGAAGUCAUUAUGGAUCUCAGCAUAAACACUAUUCCAAUCACUAGUUUUGAUCAUAUACUUAAUCUUUCCUGAGUCAGAGAGGUUAUGGAACAACCAUGCCCAUUCCCAUGAUUCGUCCUGGAAGAAAGUUUAUAUACUUCUGGACGUUACACGUAUGGACUGUGGAGCCUCCUUCCUUGUGUUUCAUUUUUGGUUCUUUGUUUGUUUGUUCAUAGUACACCCUUAGUUGGACCCUAGAACUCUUAUUGAAUGUCAUCCAUUGCAAAUAAUUUUUUUUUCUGAGAAUUUUGGAUCCUCUAGCUGUUCAGCAUCUGUGCCAUCAUGUGUGUUUAAGGUCCUAAAGAAUUAUGCAACAGAAAAAUUUUUGGAAUAAUGUUCUGGAUGCUCUCAGAAGAGUAAUUUAAGUUCGGUAGUGUUUGAUAAUGAAAAACACAUGAAAUGAUGGAGUUGGAAGAAACAUAGAGAAAACUGCCUGCCCGAAGAGUUUUGUAUGUUUCCUAACUACUUUUUAUGUCCUGAGACGUAAAAAAGGACUGAGAACAGUUGUGUUUCUCUUGUUUUGUCUGGUUAUGCCAUGGGUAAAAAGGUGAUUGUUACAGAUGCUGUUGCUAGUUUAUAGUCAAUACUUUGUACAUAAACAAUUGUGGAGGAGAAAAUAUUAAAUAUGAACAUGGCCCUAAUCAGGGAAAAGAAAAAAACAAAACCAGAAAAAUCUUCAAUUUCUGAUAUAUAUAUUUAAGAAUGUGUUCAUUAAAUGUCUGCUGUAGUAUGAACAUU